rnacentral:rRNA from 1 species
AUUGAACGCUGGCGGCAGGCCUAACACAUGCAAGUCGAACGAGUGGCGGACGGGUGAGUAAUGUCUGGGAAACUGCCCGAUGGAGGGGGAUAACUACUGGAAACAGUAGCUAAUACCGCAUACCAUCGGAUGUGCCCAGAUGGGAUUGGCUAGUAGGUGGGGUAACGGCUCACCUAGGCGAAGAUCCCUAGCUGGUCUGAUAGGCUGACCAGCCAACCUGGAACAGAGACACGGUCCAGACUCCUACGGGAGGCAGGAGAGGGGAAGAUUGCACAUUGGGCGCAAGCCUGAUGCAGCCAUGCCGCGUGGAUGAAGAAGGCCUUGGGGUUGUAAAGUACUUUCAGCGAGGAGGCGUUACUCGCAGAAGAAGCACCGGCUAACACCGUGCCAGCAGCCGCGGUAAUUC